UACGGGGGGGGCAAGCGUUGUUCGGAAUUACUGGGCGUAAAGGGCUCGUAGGUGGCCAACUAAGUCAGACGUGAAAUCCCCAGGCUCAACUUGGGAACUGCGUCUGAUACUGGAUGGCUUGAAUUCGGGAGAGGGAUGCAGAAUUCCAGGUGUAGCGGUGAAAUGCGUAGAUAUCUGGAGGAAUACCGGUGGCGAAGGCAGCCCCCUGGGCCAAUACUGACGCUCAGGCACGAAAGCGUGGGGAGCAAACAGG
rnacentral:rRNA from 1 species